UACAGAGGUGGCAAGCGUUGUUCGGAAUUACUGGGCGUAAAGGGCGCGUAGGCGGCCUUCUAAGUCAGACGUGAAAUCCCCCGGCUUAACCUGGGAACUGCGUCUGAUACUGGGAGGCUUGAGUAUGGGAGAGGGAUGUGGAAUUCCAGGUGUAGCGGUGAAAUGCGUAGAUAUCUGGAGGAACACCAGCGGCGAAGGCGGCAUCCUGGACUGGUCCUGACACUCAUGAGCGAAAGCGUGGGGAGCGAUCCGG
rnacentral:rRNA from 1 species